rnacentral:rRNA from 1 species
CUCCUACCGAUUGAAUGGUCCGGUGAAGUUUUCGGAUUGCGGCGACGCCGAGCGGUUCGCCGCCGAGUGACGUUGUGAGAAGUUCAUUAAACCUUAUCAUUUAGAGGAAGGAGAAGCCGUAACAAGGUU